UGGAUCGAUGAUGACCACUGGUGGCGUAUGAGUCGUUUACGAUGAAUACGUGUCUGGAACUCUGAGGUCCAA
ensembl:snoRNA